CCUACGGGGGACAGCAGUAGGGAAUCUUCCACAAUGGGCGAAAGCCUGAUGGAGCAACGCCGCGUGGGUGAAGAAGGUCUUCGGAUCGUAAAACCCUGUUGUUAGAGAAGAAAGUGCGUGAGAGUAACUGUUCACGUUUCGACGGUAUCUAACCAGAAAGCCGCGGCUAACUACGUGCCAGCAGCCGCGGUAAUACGUAGGUGGCAAGCGUUAUCCGGAUUUAUUGUGCGUAAAGGGAACGCAGGCGGUCUUGUAAGUCUGAUGUGAAAGCCAUCGGCUUAACCGGAGUAGUGCAUUGGAAACUGGGAGACUAGAGGGCAGAAGAGGAGAGUGGAACUCCAAGUGUAGCGGUGAAAUGCGUAGAUAUAUGGAAGAACACCAGUGGCGAAGGCGGCUCUCUGGUCAGUAACUGACGCUGAGGUUCGAAAGCGUGGGUAGCAAACAGGAUUAGAUACCCCAGUAGUC
rnacentral:rRNA from 1 species